GUACUGGAAUUUGAACAGUAGCUCGCUGCUGGGGAUUAGAGUAUGAUGAGUAACUCUCCUUUCCGUCGAUACUCCCUUAGUACUAUACACAGUCGACUGGAAGAAAUCAUCGACCUCAGCAUACAUGAAGCCAUAGCAAGAAGCAGUGAAAGCCACAGCAGAGAUUGGGUGGAGCAUAAUUUUUUCUAUGUCUCGGCGCCUUUAUGGAUGUCAUAUUUACAUCAGAUGCAAUCUGAGCCUUGUUCUGAAUUUCAACAUCCCCUUUGACAACACCUGCACAGCUGAGGUAAUGUAAGCUUAAAAAUUGAGGACAACCGUCACCAAGAAAAGAUUAUCAAUUCAACUAAUCAAUCAAGGGCCUUCUGACUAAGGGCUGAAUUAUAGUGAACACUACCAUUUAUAGACUUUGAAACAGAUUGAUGAAUGAACCACAUGCAUUGUGUCAGAGGAAUCUAGCUUGAACACCUAUUUAGCAGCCAGGACACUUAGAUGUACCUGUACAGUUGAUACAGAUAAUCUCAACGGCACAUUUCUAAAUGAUGGCCAAAAAAAUCUAAUAAAGACACUGUCAGUUUAAAACUUUUUGAAAGAAAUCCAGACUAGAAACAAAGGAUAUUGAUUUUUAAGCUCCUCCAAAUGUAAAAGGGGUUUUAUUGAAACCAAGACUAGGAUACACCCAAGGAUAUUUAAUAUUACACCCCUUCAACAUAAAAUUUUGAAUUUUAGUUUGCAUAUCUAGUGAAGAACAUGGAUUUUUUGACAUUUGAUACACUUUAUAAUGUUAUAUUGACAUUUUUUCAAGAUUUCUUUACUGUAAACUAUGUAUUUCUGCAAAAAGUAC